UGAGCGGAAAGAGCCGUUAUCAGUAACUUCUCACACCUGAGUGUUAAAACGUACUUGAGUCAGUUCCUACCCUUUAAAAGUUAAAAUUCAUCUUGUUAUUUAAAAAGAGAGAAUGUAUACUAUUACAAACCGUGAUCGAAAAAGUUUCAUAAAGGAAUAUUCUAAUAGAACAGUUCUUCGGGAAGUUACUUUCCGUAGUGUAAAUAGUGAAGCAGGACUGUCUGUGAUGGGCGAUGAAGAGGGGCCAUAUUUGUUGCAUUUGUUGCAUGUAUAAAGUCGAGAUGUGCUUAAAAACGGAACAGUAUUGAAAAAACAGUUCUAAUGAAAAUAACAGUUUUCUGCAUACUCAUUUAAAAAUGCUUGGGGUAAUUGAAGUUUAAUUGUUGGAAGAACAAACUAGGAAUGCACAGAUCUUUGUGUAUUUUUGAAUAUAUUUGUCUUUAUUCUGCGGAGCCCUUGUGCUGUAAAGGUGAAGAACUGCGUAAAGACAAUGUUGGGGAGACUUACGUAGUACAUCUAAAAUCAAAGGUAACUUACAAGAUUAUAAUUAGUGUGGUUGCUGAUGAUUCUGAAUAAAUACAGCUUUUAUCACAGGUGUGCCAUUUUGAAGACUGAGACAAUAGUUUUACCUUUAAGAGUAAAGGAGAGCCCUUGGAAAAUUCUGUAUUUUAUAUAGCAAAAAUGUGGAUCCCAGAUGGAAUGAAAUUACCUAUACCAUAGACAUUUUUGAAGCAUUUACAUCCAGUCAACUUGAAGAGUUUCAAAUGGACCAUACCACUGAGAAAUCAAGAUGGCAGCCCACUAUGGGGAAUUGAGGAAAAUGGAUUAAUCCAGGAAUGCUGUGAUAUUAUACAACCAUCCCAGGGUUCUUUUAAUGUGGAUUCCAUGAAAUGAACUAUUCUUAUCCAACACAAAUGGACAGUGGGAUUUACUUUCUAAAGACUUGUUACAUAUCAUGUACAUUUUAACAUCUGGAGAAGAUGCUACAUUUAUUCAAAUGGUAGUUUGUAUUUCUGGAAUUUCUUACAAUUUUGAUCUGAGUGACCAUAUGGAAUGUUAACUUCAAUAAAAUCUCUAAAACUUAAA